CCCUAGCCCCGAUAGAAGUGGAAAUCCUUUUGUGGCGGGGUUCGCCGCAAAAGAUUGGAACGGAUAGCGGGAUUAGCU
rnacentral:sRNA from 1 species